CACCACUCAAGCCUGGCUUGGUGUUGGGCCACGGGGGCGACCCGGGCCUCAAAAUCGUCGGCCGGACGGUCCGAAUCACAGCGUCGUGGCAACUAUUCGCUGGCGAGACGGGCGAUCCGCGCCGUGAAAUUCAUUCACA
rnacentral:misc_RNA from 1 species